rnacentral:rRNA from 1 species
CCUACGGGAGGCAGCAGUGGGGAAUAUUGGACAAUGGGGGCAACCCUGAUCCAGCCAUGCCGCGUGAGUGAAGAAGGCCCUAGGGUUGUAAAGCUCUUUCAGGUGUGAGGAUGAUGACAGUAGCACCAGAAGAAGCCCCGGCUAACUUCGUGCCAGCAGCCGCGGUAAUACGAAGGGGGCUAGCGUUGUUCGGAUUUACUGGGCGUAAAGGGCGUGUAGGCGGACGAUCAAGCUAGGGGUGAAAGCCCAGGGCCCAACCCUGGAACUGCCCUUAGAACUGGUUGUCUAGAAUCCGUAAGGGGAGUGUGGAAUUCCUAGUGUAGCGGUGAAAUUCGUAGAUAUUAGGAAGAACACCAGUGGCGAAGGCGGCACUCUGGUACGGUAUUGACGCUGAGGCGCGAAAGCGUGGGGAGCAAACAGGAUUAGAUACCCUGGUAGUCCACGCCGUAAACGAUGUCUGCUAGCCGUUUGGGCACUUAGUGUCUGGGUGGCGCCGCUAACGCAUUAAGCAGACCGCCUGGGGAGUACGGUCGCAAGAUUAAAACUCAAAGGAAUUGACGG